rnacentral:rRNA from 1 species
UACGGGGGGGGCAAGCGUUGUUCGGAAUUACUGGGCGUAAAGGGCUCGUAGGUGGCCAACUAAGUCGGACGUGAAAUCCCUCGGCUUAACCGGGGAACUGCUUCCGAUACUGGAUGGCUUGAGUUUGGGAGAGGGAUGCGGAAUUCCAGGUGUAGCGGUGAAAUGCGUAGAUAUCUGGAGGAACACCGGUGGCGAAGGCGGCAUCCUGGACCAACACUGACGCUGAGGAGCGAAAGCCAGGGGAGCAAACGGG